CAGAUAACUGAAGCCUUUUCUGUAAGAAGAAGCACUCCGUCUGUCGAGCCACGUCCAGGAACUUUUGUAUGCACUGGUCAACACCUGCAAUCAACAAAUAAAUAUACAUCGAUAUACAGAUUCCAGUAUGAGAACUCCCUGGAAAGCAGUACUGAUACUGAGUGGAUUCUCCUGAUGGAAUAAAGUACCUAUUCAUAACUGUUGCAAUAAAGAUGGAGGCACAC